rnacentral:rRNA from 1 species
CACGUAGGGCGCGAGCGUUGUCCGGAAUUAUUGGGCGUAAAGAGCUCGUAGGCGGCCUGUUGCGUCCGCUGUGAAAGCCCGGGGCUUAACCCCGGGUCGGCAGUGGAUACGGGCAGGCUAGAGGUAGGUAGGGGAGAAUGGAAUUCCCGGUGUAGCGGUGAAAUGCGCAGAUAUCGGGAGGAACACCGGCGGCGAAGGCGGUUCGUCUGGGCCACUAACGUGACGCUGAGGAGCGAAAGCGAUGGGGAGCGAACGAGGA